GGGCUUGGCAAGGGUGUCCCUCUCUGCUGGGGCUUGGCAAGGGUGUCCACCGGAUCUUAUUGGAAACUUCAAGUUUCUAUCUCUAUUUAUAAAGGAACUUUUGUUCCUUUUCUCUCAUCGUCCAGCCUUGGGCAACAAUUUUUUCUGGUACCAUCAAGAAACCGGACUCAAUACUGCGUAUGCUGUCAGUGGCCCUGAUAAACCCAACAAAAUAAGAAGAGACAUAUUAAUUACAAUUGUCUGAUCAAGAAGGUGGGAUUUUUGGCCAGAACUGCCGUAAUUCUUACUAAGAGGAACUUUAUGCCAACCAUGCUUCCUUAAACCCUGAGAAUAACUGUUAAUAUGCUUUCAAGCCCCAGUGCACCGGGUUUAUGUUUUAUUCAUCAUUACUGGUCAGUUUUACUGGUGAAGUGUGGAUGAUGAUGUUCCUCUGGCAGGUAUAUUGACGGAGCACCAACAUGGUACCUCGUCAGUUUCUGAGGUAUCCAGGGACCCGGGUUCGAUUCCUGUCGGGGUGGAAAUAUUUCGACGUGUUUCCUCACACCUGUUGUCCUGUUCACCUAGCAGCAAGGAAGGUCUCCAGGGAGCUACAGUGAUCCUGAAGACCCUAGAAGCCAGCUUUCACAUCACUGCUCUAGGUGUUUACACCAUGUCCUUGCAUGAUCACUUUCACCUCCUGGAGCACUCUAUGAAUCUGGCAUCAUGUGCUCACCACCACAGCUGCCAGGUCAUCGACACCUUCAGCAUGACUGCAGCCCGCUAUAGACACUUUCUCCAGGGAAGUGUGCCUGCCAUUUUCACCAGGUUGUGUCGAGAUGUGAGGGCAAUGGGGAGGUGGUGUACCAUGUAGAGGGAGAAAUCAGUGCCAUUUACACCAACAUACUUGCCAACACCUUUUCUCCACACUCUUCUCUCACCAGAUAUUAGCCCUUGACGUGGGUGUGUCAAUCAACCACCGAGAAAGGGAGCAGAAGGGCUUCACUGUGGCUUCCAGCUAACUUAGCGACAUGUUUAUUUAUUUAUUUAUUUUAUUUAUUUAUUUAUUUAUUAAUUUGAACAUGAUACAGUGAAGUACAAAAGAAUACAGUUAAAAGCAGCAUGCCAAAGCCACUUGAAUGUAUAGCAUUACGGGCAGGCUUAAAAUUAACUUAAGAUUAACUAAACAAUGAUAUAUUCAGUGGUACAAAAAUUAUUGUAAAACAGAUAACAAUUUAGUACAAAUGAGUAUUACAAAGACAGGUCAUAUGGUCAUUUACUGUGUUGCUGUGUAAUCAGUAGAAUGGAGUAUUCUGUUAGGCAAUGAAGUUAAAUAGUAACAGAGUUUGAUUGGGUCACAGGUUGACAUUUAUGAGAUACAAUAAUGAGAUACAUAUAUGAGAUACAAUUUAUGAGAUACAAUUAUUCAGUAUUUAUUUAGUUGUGGGUGAGUAAGUGAUUUUUGAGAAGAGACUUGAAUUUAUAAACAGUGUUUCUUUUAUAUUCACAGAUAAUGAAUUCCAGAUUUUAGGGCCUUUUAUGUGCAUUGAGUUUUUGCAUAGCAUAGUGUAACUUACUGAUCUGUAUAGAAAAGCUGCAUUUUUAUUAGUUAUUCUGUUUUGUAUAGAUCUUGUUAUUCCUUUUAGAUAUAUAUCAUUGUGAUGAAUAGAAAUAUGCUUAUCAGAGCAAAUAUGUUACAAUCAGUUUUUUUUUUUUUUUUUAAACUUUUGAGCCAUAUAUUGUACAUUCUACUGAGGACUCCAUGGCUGUUUUCCUAUAUACAUGUAGGACACACUUUACCAUGUAUAUUAUGAUUUAUAUAUUUUAUAUAUACACAUACAUGUUAUAUAUGUAUUAUUAUAUAAAAAAAUUGCA